rnacentral:lncRNA from 1 species
GCCCCGCGCUCACCUUGAGCCCGCGGAUCUCGCCGAGGUGCAGCUGCAGGCGACGGUUCACCUCGCGGAUGAGGUUGCUGUGGUCCAGCAUCGCGCUCACCUUCUCGGCCUCGGCGCGCCGCAGGCUGCGGAUCAGCUCCUCCUUGCUCCACUGCAGCAGCUCCUCGUCCGACACUUUGGACAGGUCCUCCACGGCGGCGGCGGCGGACGGGCCCGCAGAGGCUGGGGGACAACUUUCCGCCGCCGCCGUCGCCGCUGUGCCUCCGGCCGCCUUCGACAUGGUAUCCGCGCGGUGGCAGGUGCGAGUGGGUGGAAGAGGCAAAGCGACUCCCGAAGGCGCGGGCGCGGCGGGGCCGCCUCCGCCCACACCCCUGUGCGCUCCGGCGAGUCAGCUGCACCGCCCGGCGGCCGCUGGGUUGGGGCGGCAGGGGUCGCGCUGAGCGGCCAUCCUACCUCGCCAUCCCGGCGCGCGCGCCCGCGCACCCCCAGGGCCGGGCAGUCACCCGCGCUCUGCUGCCGAGGCGCGUCCCAACUCGGCGCAAGUCCAUGGUGAGGGGCGCCGGGGAGCGGGCGCCGCCGCAGGAAAACCUCGGCGAGCGGCGGGGACGCCGAGGGACCGCGCCCCGACUCCCCUGCCCUCUCCUCCGCCCGGAUUCGAGACCGUCGCCCCCCCACACUCUCGCACACACGCGCGCACUUUCCUCCCCCUUGCCCAGCUGCAGCUCCGUCUACACGGCGCUCCUGAGGGAGUUAGGGCGCUCCGGGAUCCGCGGCGCCUCCUGGGUUGCUCGAGCGACGCCGCCGCUGCUGCCCGAAGGCUCAGCGCGGCUGGCCUGCCGCGCUCCUCUCGCCGCCUUCGCUGCGCCCGCCGCCGCUCCUUAGGCUGCUCGGGAAAGCCUGGGAUUUGCAGAGCCGAGCCGAGCCACGCCGAGGUAAAGGCUGGACCCGCAGCAGGAGAAGCCUGCAGCCGGGGCCAUCUGCAGCCAGCCGCACCUCCCGCGCGGGCCGGACGCAGCUGCUGCUAGAUCGCCUCCCGGGCUCCCGAGGCGCGCUCCCCGCUAUCCCGCCGGGGAAGGCCGGGGGCGCGGCUCCUCCAGCGCCGGGGCGCGGGUGGGGCGAGAUGCGGGAGACGCGUGAGAAGCUGUGCCACCCGGGCUCUGGCAGGCUCGCGCGCGCCACCAUGUGGUGGAAGAAGCUCCUUCCUCCGCCCCCUGAGCGCCAGGCUUGUCACCAGGCAAGAGAAACAACAGGGGGCCAAAAUGAGAGACGCGUGGUAUUUCCAAGGACUGGAGGUCAGGGAAGAGAGACAGGAGGACCUAACCGUCUGUUUCUACUUUGGAGAAUGGAAGAAGAGGUCAAUGGCAAGAGAGAGAGUGAGAGAGAGAGAGAGAGAGAGAGAGAGAGAGAGAGAGAGAAAGAAAGAGCGGGGGUGGGGGGUGUGGGAAGGUGGGAGAUGGGUAGGAUGGGAAAGGAAGGAAGCUUUAAGAAAAUCCCAGUGCUCUGAAAAGGGGAAAGAAAGGCUUGGGGCACUGCUCUUUAGGGACCACCCACGCCCACCCCAGGCCUUUGUCUUUUCUGAAAAUCCACUACUUUGUGAAGAAGCUUCAGGGGAUGGUAUUGGAUCUUUUAAAGUUUUAUUUGAAAAACAUAAAAGCCUUAACUGGAAAUUAAAAUGCCUUCCCCUCCUGUUUCCCUAGGUCUGGAUUUUAAGGUCUGCACAAUCACCUCCCAUCUGAGCAAAGGACAGCCCCUCAGGGCAGCCUGAACUGCCUGGCAAGGAGAUUUCCAUUUUCCUCCAGCAGCGGGCUGUCAGUUCUUACUGGUUUGGCUUUUUGUGAUGGUAAUUUUGAGAAGGGGGUAUUCUGUGUCCCCCGGUCAAAUCUUUGGGCUACAAAAUUCCCCUUCCCACCCCCACUCCCCAAUUGUACCCUCUUGUUGCAUGGAAUCGAACCUAAACGAAAGCAAGUGAUUUUUGGUUUUGGUUUUGGUUUUGGGUUUGUUUUUGUUUUUGUUUUUGUUUUUGCCUUGAGAAGUGGAUGCAUUGGGUCCCAGGCAUGUCAUUUUAGAUGAAUACUUUCUCCUCCAGGAUGGAGACAGAGCCAGAAAACCGUAGGGACUACCCCCACAGGGCUUUGGUAAGCCUGGGUGUGGAGGGAAUAACCACCUGGUGGGUUGAGGCUUUAAAUCUCAGACCCUCCACCAACAGGUCACUGUGUGUUCCUUUAUAAAGCUGCCACCUUUUAAAAAUCACAUGGGAACUUCUGAGAUUUAGCUUCCUGCAGAGCAAAGGAAGGUGGUGCUAGAAGAGGGUCUUAAAGUUCCCCUUAGCGUGGAUUACACUUUAGACCUGUUUCUUCCAGAAUGUAGGUCCCUGACCUUUCUUAUAGCACUUACCUUGUGAAUUCUUUCUCUGCUGCUUUGAGAUGUAAAUCACCUCCCAGUUUUACCACCCAGAAAUGUCCUUCUCCAGGACCUGGGAGCCAUCCUGGGAAAUGUAAUAAUCAAGGAAAAUAGCGCCCCCCCCCCCCCCCCCCCCAUCUCUCUUAAAGGAGAGAAGCCUAACUUCACUAAGCGCCAAUCAGCAAACAUCAAUGGUCUAAUCAUACCGGCCAACUCAACUUUCCCUUCCCUGGCCCACUGAUAGUGUCCUCCAGUACUUUCCCAGUAGCCCACCCCAGGGCUGAAAAACUCUCUUGCCUCUUAUGCCAGAGGAGUGGAGUUCAGGCGCCAUAUCUCUCUCUCUCUCUCUCUCUUUCUCCCUUUCCUAUUACAAUAAUCUUGCAUAAAGUCUUCCUUGGGUUUAACUAUAUCGAUUGAAAUUUGGCUUUGAUCCCUCCCCUUCUCUCGUGUACACAGAAGGUUUUCCUCAACACAGGUCCUGAGACUUCUUUUGGCACAGGAGGAAGAAAUGCAAGUCAGAAAAAUAUGAGUCCUGUCUCUGUCACUGGUUAAUUCUUCUCCUUGAACAAAUCAUCUAACCUUAUUGGGCCUCAGGCAGCUAAUAAGAUAAUGUACAUGAAGUGCUUUAUCAAGUUACCUACAGAAAUGCUACUUGGUUGAUAAUUUGGGCAGCCCACCUUCUGGAAAUGGUAGCCACCCACCACAUCUGUGUGGUUUUUUGUUUUUUUGGUUUUGGUUUUGGUUUUGUUUUUUCCUCCAUCAGGUUUGUUCUUUAAGAGUCCUGUUUCAAAAUCAAACAACCAGCACCCUUCACCACUAACUCUCUCAGACAUUUAACACCUAUGCGGCUAUUCAAAGGCAGAUCUAGAUGGCUGAAAGGAGUGACUGGACCUAUGUUGAGAGAUCAAGGAAGCAAGAAACCAAAGAAAAAUUUCACCACAAAUGUAUAUGCACUAGCAGCUACUUAACUAUUGGGCUAUAUCACCUUGGUGAAGUUUUAUUGUUUCUAAUUUUGGUCAUGGACUCAGGAUAGUAAUUGAAUGAAAAAUGUUGCUUCAUGUUGUUAAUGUCAUGUGUGGUAUCAGGAACUUGGCUGCUAAAAACAGAAAACUCAAAAAACAGCCACUUAAAGAAGGCACUUAUUUUCUCUCACGUAACUGACAUUCAGUUGAGGGUUGGUAUGGUAUCCUUAUAUCAUCGAAAAGACUCCUUCUCGGGGUGCCUGGGUGGCGCAGUCGGUUAAGCGUCCGACUUCAGCCAGGUCACGAUCUCGCGGUUUGUGAGUUCGAGCCCCGCAUCGGGCUCUGGGCUGAUGGCUCAGAGCCUGGAGCCUGUUUCGGAUUCUGUGUCUCCCUCUCUCUCUGCCCCUCCCCCGUUCAUGCUCUGUCUCUCUCUGUCCCAAAAAUAAAUAAAUGUUGAAAAAAAAAAUUUAAAAAAAAAAAAAAAAGAAAAGACUCCUUCUCUCUGCUCAGCCAUCCUUAGUAUGGUUGCCUCCUGGCAACAAGAUGGCUGCUGGAGCGCUGGCCAUCCUUCUACAUUUGGGGCAGGCCAAAGAUAUGAGCAAACGGCAACAGUACACGUGCUCCCUUAAAAGGUUUUCCUAGGGCACCUGAGUGGCUCAGUGAGCUAAACAUCUGACUUGAUCUCAGCUCAGGUCAUGUUUUCAUGCCUCAUGAGUUUGAGCCCCAUAUCUGGCUCUGUGCUUUUGUCACAGAGCCUGCUUGUGAUUGUCUCUCCUCUCUGCCCCUCCUCUACUUGUGCAUACUCUUUCUCUUUCUCAGAAUAAAUAAAUAAACUUUAACAACAAAUAUUAAUUAAUUAAAAAAAAUAAAGCGUUUUCCUAGUAAUACGACCCAAUGAAUCUCAUUUAUAUCCUAAUAGCCAGGGCUUGCCAUGUAACCACCUCCCACCUAAGGGAAACUAGGAAACACUUUUAAAGGUAGGCACAUUAAUGCCACAAGUAAAAUCAGAGUUGUUUCAUUAUGUGAUGGAAACAGUUUUGCCUGCAGUCUCAGCAGUACACCCUGGGUACAGUAAAUGGAGGAAUCUAAAACCCAGCCCUAAAUGGCUUAAGUCCUUAAGCCCUGAUGGCUUUAUCUCGUCUGUUGUUUUGAAUUACCUCUGUUCCAUCACCACUCACUAUUGCCUCACUAGGUCUCACCUGACCCUUCUCACUGGUCCCCCUGAUGCCAGUAUCACCUCUCUGGAACCUGAUUUCCACACAGCUGCCUAAGUAAACUAUCUACAAAGUCAAGUCCAUUUGCUUCACCCCUAACAUAGAUUGAAUCAUUGCUCAUAGUUCUUCACAGCCUCCCAGUGUAAUUCAUACCACAUGUGACUUUGUGGUAGCUCCCAUGGAGCGGGUAGAGUUUAUCUUCCCACCCCAGGGAUAUUGUGCUUGACCGUGGGCUUGCUUUGCUAAUGGAAUCUGGGUGUAUCUGAGGGGUAUGCCUUCUGUUUGUCCCCUCAUCACCCUGUACUUCCACAGGUUACUGACAGAAGAACUAACUUUGGGUAGCUGCUGUUCCUUCAGUCUGGGCCCCAGCCAGUGCCACCCCAGGCAUUUUAUAGACCUGCACCCUGAUGUAGAGCCUCCCUCCCAUCACAAACCCUUGCAUCAGUGUACAAGAAUAUAUAACUGUUACUUAAGCCAUGGGGUUUUGAUGAGAUACAUUAUGUGGCAUUAAUGCAAUAGUUAGCAGAUACACCUCCCUUACCUAAAUCUCUUCAGUGGCAUCUCAGUACCUCUCCAUAGAACGAAGCCAUAUUCCUUAGUAGAGUACAUAAGAUGGGCACAGUCUGGCCCUUGCCUCCACCCCCAUCAUACCUUGCCUCAUAUCUCAGACUUCACCAGUGCCAAACUGCCCAUAGAUCCUGCCAGCACUCUCCAUCCCUCUGUGCCCCCUGAUGCUAUUCUCUCAUGCUUGGAAUGCCUCUUCCCUCUGGACAACUCCCACUGGAUACUUAUACUGGCAUCAUCUCCUCCAGAUCCCUGGCAUCAGCCCAUUCUCCGAUAAAGGCAGAAGGCAGUAUUCCUCUCCACUCCCAUAAUCUCCAGUGCAUACCUCUAACCUAGCACCUAAAACAGAAUAUGGAACUACAGGAAAUUAUAGGUGAAAGCUCAUAUUAACCCAGCCAAUCCCAACAGAAUAGUUUAGCUCCAGCUAGAAUUUAAUGUAAUCUCUUUUUCACUUUCUCCAAACCCUAUGAACUUAUGUCAUACCCUCUGAAACUUCUUGAUGCAAUUAGAAAUGCUGUCGAGGACAUUGCUGCAUAUAUCCCAUAUGCCUUGUUAUGAGGUGGUAUCCUAAUCCAUGGGGUUACUUGGGACCCAUUAGUUUCAAUCUCACAGACACUGUGAAUUAUGCAAUUGGUGUGCAUUUCUCUUUGCAUUGGCUGCUGGGAAGUCAGAUAUAAAUUGGUGGCCCACCCUCAGCAAUUUAGAUAAGACUUAAGGAAUAUGAUUUGUUGACUAACCUGACUUCUAUCAUUUUCUUACUUCCAAAUUUCUCCCUUUUAAUUUCUUCCAUCUUGUUCCUUAUGUACUUUUGUAAGUUACCUGAUACACACAUACAUAUGCACGUACAUACAUGCAUAUACAUAUAUAUACAUAUAUACACAUGUAUACAAAUAUACAUACAUACACAUAUGUAUACACAAAUAUAUAUACAUAUAUCCAGAAAACAGAAGGAAGGGGAAAUAGGAGAAGGGAGGUCUUGUCUCCAGUCAUAGACCUUAUAAUGUUUUCUCUUUCUCCUUUACUUUGAGGUCUUCUCCCCCUAGUAGCUCCUAAACUCCAUGAAGACAAGCCCCACUUCCCACCCUAGAGUCAGCAUUCAGUAAAAGAGGGAAGGGGGAGGGAAACAAGCUUGCUCAAGGCCUUUGUUCAAUUCUUUUAUCCCCCUUGUUUGGAAAGCCUCGUCACCUGCAUCACAUAUAUAAGACCUCUUCCUUUUGAAAAUAUUAAUUACCGUUUAAUGUAUGCUAUUUUAGAAGUCACAUGAGUGCUAUGCAAUUCAGAAAAUUCUUUUAAAUUGCCUAGAUGUAGAAUAAUACCAUGUUUUAAUGAGUUAGCCUCAAAUAGCUGUAAGAUGCUCUCAGGUGAUGGGUUUAUUCAUUGAUGAUGCCAGACAUAAGUAACCGUAUUGCAUGAACAAGGCUGCGGUUUAUCUCUUCGAAUCUGUGUUUUGUCAGGUAACAGGAAGCUACUGAAACAUCCCAUCUUGCUCCACUAAGAACCAGUUUCCCAGGGAAUACUUUGACACUCAAUGUAGUGCACUGGAUUUUUGCUUGGUGAUCUAAUUCUGAGUCCAGAUCCAGAGAACACGAUCAUUGUGUGGAAAUGGGAAGUAGCUGCGAAUCCCAGCAGUAACAGGAGCCUCUGGUGGUGGUGGAUAUUACUGAUGGAUGCCUGCAAAACACACUGUCACUGUGAGCCUCUGUGAAGGUGCUUUGCCUCGGUCCAGCCCCACAAACCGAACAUUUAGGAGCUUGCUGGCCUUUACUGUAUCUUGUUCUGUCAGCUAUGACGGCAGAAACUGACUGCCAAGGGAAGGUUGAUUUGACUGCCAGAGCACCCAAGGGAGAGAGGUCCAGCCAGCCUGACCCUCAGAGUGUUGAGAUCCCCAGAGUGUUCUGAGUCAUGAAAACAGCUGCUCUGUCCCCUCCCCCAACAGCUUUCUGUGGGUGCGGUGGGACAUGUGUCUCAUGGAGGAAAACAAAAAGCAGGGGAUACUUCAGGAGCCCCUAUUUCCGAUUGUUUGUAAAGAAAAUGAAUAGAUCCAUUUGAUAGUCCCUGGACCAUUAAUGCCAUUUCCAAUCUUAGCCCUCCCCUGGGUGUCUUCCUCACAGAUUCUCAACCUUGGCUGCAUAUUAGAGUCACCUGGGGAGUUCAAUACAUACCAAUGCCUGGGCCCCUCCCUAGAGAUUUCUGAUUUAAUAAGUCUGGGGUGCAGUCUGCCUAUUGGGGUUUUGUAAAACUCCCCACGUGGUGCUGCUAGGCAGCCGUUUGAGAAUUACUCUUGUAGAUGGUGUAGUGCGCUGUCCAAGAGAAAUAUAUCACAAACCACAAAUGCAUGCCACAGAUAUAAUUUUAAAUUGUCUAGUAGUUGCACAAAGCAAAAAGAAACAGGUGAUACUAAUUUUAAUAUAUUUCACUUAAUCUAAUAUAUUCAAAAUGUUACUCAACAUGUAAUUAACAUAAAAAUUGUUAGUGAAAUACCUUGCAUUUUUUGUCAUAAGACUUGAUAAUCUAGUGGGUAUUUUACAUGUAAAGCAUAUUUCAAUCCAAACAAGCCAUGUUUCAAGCGCUCAGUAGCCACACGUGACUACCAAUAUUGUGACCAGCAAUAAGUGGCUACCGCAUUGGACAUCACAGCUGUAGACCAUUUGGUUGGGGGUGGGAGUGAAAGAAUAAAUAAGAGUGGGACUCAUGGUGGGCUGAAUAAUGAAUGACCCCACCUCAGAUAUCCAUGUGCUAAUCCUCAGAAUCUGAAUAUUACCUUUAAUGGCAAUAAGGGACUUUGCAGGUGUGAUUAUAUUAAGGCUCUUGACAUAGAGCAACCAUCUUAGCUUUAUCCUAGUGGAUAAGUGCAAUUACAUGUAUGCUUGCAGGAGGGAGGCAGGGAGAUUUCACAAACGGAAGAGGCAUGUAAUGUAACCACAGAGGCAAAGAUUCGAGUGGUGAGUCAAGGACUGCCUGAUCCUCCCCAGAGCCUCCAGAAGAAACACAGCCCUUCUGAUACCUUGAUCUUAGCCCUGAAAGACUCAUUUCAGAUUUCUGGCCUCUUGUGAGAGAAUAAAUUUCUGUUGUUUUAAGCCACUAAAUUUGCAGCCUCAAUGGGAAACUAAUACAGCCCAUUUAAUAAAAAAGCACUUCCUUUUGAUCUGUAUUAUUGUAGUUAUCGCAGUCUUUCUUCUUUUAUUGCUGGUUGGAUACCUAUUGAUUUUUUUUGUUUGGAGGGCAGGGACCUGUCUUAUUCAUUGAUGAACCCUCCACCACUCUGAGCAAGUAAAGUGUUGCAGGAGCACAGUAAAGCGGCUGAAGCUCAGCCUCAGAAAUGCCCAGAUUCAGGUGCGCAUUCAAGAAAAGCUUGAAAGAGAGGCCACCUCCUGAAGAGGUCUUUAUUGGGGAAAGCGACAGAUCACAAACAUCCCAGAUGUCCAUCGGAACGCCUGCCUGCCUUAAUCAGUUGAAGUGUCUUUGAGAAGCUGUGACCCUGGAGUAGAGAAAAGGAAGAAAGUGCUAAAAUCAGAACUGCCUGACAGGUCUGACCUUUGAGGCCAAUUCCCAUGGAACUGCCUAUGCUUGCCUGUCCCCAUGCAGACCCAGCCCCAUGUGACCUGGGAAUUUCCGGCCCCUUUCCUAAGCUACCUAAAAUAGACGUAGUUAAGAGUCUCACAAGUGAAGUUGCCCCUUCACACAUUUGCUCAAUAAGAUAGCUUUCCUCCUAACACCGAAAUCAGCUGCCCUGAGGGUGUGCAAGUUUGAUUAGGAAGUCCCUCUUUGGCAGUUUCUUAAAUAGCCAGUCCCUGGCAGCAUGCAUAACACCUGAGAUAUUGGCUUAUAAUGUCCCCAUUAAUUAAAAAUGACAAAUGAUAGAGGAACGUGGAUGAUGGGCAUUGAGGAGGGCACUUGUUGGGAUGAGCACUGGGUGUUACACAUAAGCAAUGAACCAUGGGAAUCUACCCCCAAAACCAAGAGCACACUGGACACACUGUAUGUUAGCCAGUUUGACAAUAAAUUAGAUAAAGAAAGAAGAAAGAAGAAAGAAAGAAAGAAAGAAGAAAAAAUGAUAAAUGGCAGGUUUAAAAUUGAGGUACGCUCAUUGCCUUUCAGAAUGGAACUUUCCAAGAUGCCAUAAUCACACUGUGAUUGAACAGGA